UACGGGGGGGGCAAGCGUUGUUCGGAAUUACUGGGCGUAAAGGGCUCGUAGGUGGCCCCAUAAGUCAGACGUGAAAUCCCUCGGCUCAACCGAGGAACUGCGUCUGAGACUGUGGGGCUUGAAUCCGGGAGAGGGAUGCGGAAUUCCUGGUGUAGCGGUGAAAUGCGCAGAUAUCAGGAGGAACACCGAUUGCGAAGGCAGCUCGCUGGGACAUUACUGACGCCGAGACGCGAAAGCGUGGGGAGCAAACAGG
rnacentral:rRNA from 1 species